GACGAACGCUGGCGGCGUGCUUAACACAUGCAAGUCGAACGGAAAGGCCUGCUUUCCCUUGUGGUUUGCGGGUACUCGAGUGGCGAACGGGUGAGUAACACGUGAGUGAUCUGCCCCCAACUUGGGUAUAAGCCUGGGAAACUGGGUCUAAUUCCCGAUAGGACUGCAGGGUGGUGCCUGUGGUGGAAAACGAUUUUCUAGUGGUUGGGGAUGAGCUCGCGGCCUAUCAGCUUGUUGGUGGGGUAAUGGCCUACCAAGGCGGCGACGGGUAGCCGGCCUGAGAGGGUGGACGGCCACAUUGGGACUGGGAUACGACCCAGACGCCUACGGGAGGCAGCAGUGGGGAAGAUUGCACAGUGGGCGGGAGGCUGAUGCAGCGACGCCGCGUGGGGGAUGACGGGAUUCGGGUUGUAAGCUCCUUUCGACCGCGAGGAAGCCACCUGGUUGGAAGGGUGGUGACGGUAGUGGUAGAAGAAGCACCGGCUAACUACGUG
rnacentral:rRNA from 1 species